UACGUAGGGUGCAGGCGUUAACCGGAAUUACUGGGCGUAAAGCGUGCGUAGGCGGUGUCUUAAGUUUGUUGUGAAAUCUCCCGGCUUAACCGGGAGGGUGCGGCGAAUACUGAGAUGCUGGAGUGCCGGAGAGGUAAGCGGAAUUCCUGGUGUAGCGGUGAAAUGCGUAGAUAUCAGGAGGAACACCUGCGGUGUAGACGGCUUACUGGACGGUAACUGACGCUGAGGCACGAAAGCGUGGGUAGCAAACAGG
rnacentral:rRNA from 1 species